rnacentral:rRNA from 1 species
CCUACGGGAGGCAGCAGUGAGGAAUAUUGGUCAAUGGCCGUAAGGCUGAACCAGCCAAGUCGCGUGAAGGAAGAAGGAUCUAUGGUUUGUAAACUUCUUUUAUAGGGGAAUAAAGGUAUCCACGUGUGGCUAUUUGCAUGUACCCUAUGAAUAAGCAUCGGCUAACUCCGUGCCAGCAGCCGCGGUAAUACGGAGGAUGCGAGCGUUAUCCGGAUUUAUUGGGGUUAAAGGUUGAGUAGGUUGUUUUUUAAGUCAGCGGUGAAAGUUUGUGGCUCAACCAUAAAAUUGCCGUUGAAACUGGAAGACUUGAGUGUGUUUGAGGUAGGCGGAAUGCGUGGUGUAGCGGUGAAAUGCAUAGAUAUCACGCAGAACUCCGAUUGCGAAGGCAGCUUACUAAACUGCCACUGACAUUGAUGCUCGAAAGUGUGGGUAUCAAACAGGAUUAGAUACCCCAGUAGUC